CAGGAGAGAGUUUGAUAAAAUGCUGACUUUGGGAGUCAGUGAUCCAUUAAAGUAAGGUGGUCUCCUGA
rnacentral:tRNA from 1 species